AAUGAACGCUGGCGGCAUGCCUUACACAUGCAAGUCGAACGGCAGCAUGACCUAGCUUGCUAGGUUGAUGGCGAGUGGCGAACGGGUGAGUAAUGCAUCGGAACGUGCCUUUUAGUGGGGGAUAACGUAGCGAAAGUUACGCUAAUACCGCAUAUUCUCUGAGGAGGAAAGCAGGGGACCUUCGGGCCUUGCGCUAGAAGAGCGGCCGAUGUCGGAUUAGCUAGUUGGUGAGGUACAGGCUCACCAAGGCAACGAUCCGUAGCGGGUCUGAGAGGAUGAUCCGCCACACUGGGACUGAGACACGGCCCAGACUCCUACGGGAGGCAGCAGUGGGGAAUUUUGGACAAUGGGCGCAAGCCUGAUCCAGCCAUGCCGCGUGAGUGAAGAAGGCCUUCGGGUUGUAAAGCUCUUUCGGCUGGGAAGAAAUCGCACCCUCUAAUACAGGGUGUGGAUGACGGUACCAGCAUAAGAAGCACCGGCUAACUACGUG
rnacentral:rRNA from 1 species